rnacentral:rRNA from 1 species
UACGCAGGGUGCAAGCGUUGUCCGGAAUUAUUGGGCGUAAAGAGCUCGUAGGCGGUCUGUCGCGUCGGAUGUGAAAAUCCAGGGCUCAACCCUGGACCUGCAUUCGAUACGGGCAGACUAGAGUUCGGUAGGGGAGACUGGAAUUCCUGGUGUAGCGGUGAAAUGCGUAGAUAUCAGGAGGAACACCGGUGGCGAAGGCGGCUUUCUGGACAGUAACUGACGCUGAGGCGCGAAAGCUAGGGGAGCAAACAGG